rnacentral:rRNA from 1 species
UACAGAGGGUGCGAGCGUUGUCCGGAAUCACUGGGCGUAAAGGGCGCGUAGGUGGCGCGACAAGUCAACGGUGAAAGCCCGGGGCUCAACCCCGGGUCGGCCGUCGAUACUGUUGGGCUUGAGCACUGUAGAGGCAGGUGGAAUUCCGGGUGUAGCGGUGGAAUGCGUAGAGAUCCGGAAGAACACCGGUGGCGAAGGCGGCCUGCUGGGCAGUAGCUGACACUGAGGCGCGACAGCGUGGGGAGCAAACAGG